AGGGUUUGAUUAUGGCUCAGAACGUACGCUGGCGGCACGCCUAAUACAUGCAAGUCGAACGAAGUAGCAAUACUUAGUGGCAAACGGGUGAGUAUAAUGUGGGAAUCUGCCCAUUGGUUUGGAAUAACACGAGGAAACUUGUGCUAAUACCAGAUAAGCCUUCACAGGGAAAGCUUUAUGCGCCGAUGGACGAGCCCGCACUUGAUUAGCUAGUUGGUAAGGUAAAAGCUUACCAAGGCUACGAUCAAUAGCUGAUCUGAGAGGAUGAUCAGCCACAUUGGGACUGAGACACGGCCCAAACUCCUACGGGAGGCAGCAGUAGGGAAUCUUGCACAAUGGGGGAAACCCUGAUGCAGCGAUGCCGCGUGAGUGAAGAAGGCCUUUGGGUUGUAAAGCUCUUUCGUUGGGGAAGAAAAUGACUGUACCCGAAUAAGAAGGUCCGGCUAACUUCGUGCCAGCAGCCGCGGUAAUA
rnacentral:rRNA from 1 species